AAUUUUGGACAAUGGGGGAAACCCUGAUCCAGCCAUCCCGCGUGUAUGAUGAAGGCCUUCGGGUUGUAAAGUACUUUGGGCGGAGAAGAAAAGGUAUCACCUAAUACGGGAUACUGCUGACGGUAUCUACAGAAUAAGCCCCGGCUAACUACGUUCCAGCAGCCGCGGUAAUACGUAGGGUGCAAGCGUUAAUCGGAAUUACUGGGCGUAAAGCGUGUGUAGGAGGUUCGGAAAGAAAGAUGUGAAAACCCAGGGCUCAACCUUGGAACUGCAGUUUUAACUGCCGAGCUAGAGUAUGUCAGAGGGGGGUAGAAUUCCACGUGUAGCAAUGAAAAGCGUAGAUAAGUGGAGGAAUACCGAUGGCGAAAGCAGCCCCCUGGGAUAAUAAUGACGCUCAGACACGAAAGCGUGGGGAGCAAACAGG
rnacentral:rRNA from 1 species